rnacentral:rRNA from 1 species
GACGAACGCUGGCGGCGUGCUUAACACAUGCAAGUCGAACGGGUCUGCCCUGUUUUUUGCGGGGUGGGUCAGUGGCGAACGGGUGAGUAACACGUGAGUAACCUGCCCCUCACUUCUGGAUAACCGCUUGAAAGGGUGGCUAAUACGGGGUGUUCUGGCUGUGCCGCAUGGUGUGGCUGGGAAAGAUUCACUUUUGUGGUGUUUUGGUGGGGGAUGGGCUCGCGGCCUAUCAGCUUGUUGGUGGGGUGAUGGCCUGCCAAGGCUUUGACGGGUAGCCGGCCUGAGAGGGUGGGCGGUCACACUGGGACUGAGAUACGGCCCAGACUCCUGCGGGAGGCAGCAGUGGGGGGUAUUGCACAAGGGGCGGAAGCCUGAUGCAGCGACGUCGCGUGAGGGAUGGAGGCCUUCGGGUUGGGAACCUCUUUCGCCGGUGAAGAAGGUCCUGCUCUUUGUGGUGGGGUUGACGGUAGCCGGGUUAUGAAGCGCCGGCUAACUACGU